CCCCGAAUUGAUAAGGGGAAUCGGAAAGUACUCGAGGUCGCAGAUGUACCACAAGAGGGGCAUUUGGGCUAUCAAGGCCAAAAACGGUGGCGUUUUACCUCGCCACGACCCCAAACCCAAACCUGAAACUCCCACUGAAAAACCACCCAAAUUUUACCCCGCUGAUGAUGUCAAGAAACCCCUUGUCAACAAGCACAAACCCAAACCAGCUAAGCUCAGGUGCAUUAUCAAUCUCAUUCUCACUUGUUAUGUGUAAUGGAUUCUAAAAUUUGUGUUUUUAUUUGAUUUUAGUUUAGUUUGUGUAAUUGAUUUGAUUUGGAGUUUGAGAUGUUAGAAAGACAUGUCAUAGAAUGAUUGAAUAAUAUAAUAUGCUGAUACAAAGCUCAGGUUAAAUUUAUAACAAUAGAAGCUACUCGGUUUUAUAUGCACUAAUUAACUUAGUAAAAUGGUUUGGAAACUAACCAAUUCACUAACACGUAACUAAGUAGAAUCAGCAGUUCUAACUUUUAGUUUUAAUUAUAUCAAUUUAUUUUAUGUUAGUCUAGGUUAUUGGUAAAUGAUGGAAUGUAUUUGAGUAUUUUUUUCAAUAAAAUUUUUCUGGUUUGGUUAUGUUUUAUUUUUAUGUGGAACUUAUGGCAUGUGAUUCUGUUUUGUUUGUGUUUCAGGGCUAGCAUUACCCCCGGAACAGUGUUGAUUCUUCUUGCUGGUAGAUUUAAGGGAAAGAGGGUAGUGUUUUUGAAGCAGCUACCUUCUGGGUUGCUUCUUGUAACAGGUGAGUUUUGUUGUUAAACAUUAUUGCUGAGAUUGUGCAUGCUAAGCAUUUUGUUCAUUUGUCAUUGUAUUAAUAAAUUGAAUUUUUUAUUUUAUCCUGAUGAGUAAUAAUCAAUUAUUUCUCUUGUAUGUAAAAUGUUGCUUCUCUAUUAUUGCUUGGGUGUAUACUAGUGUUUCAUCUCGCAAUGUUGUCUCUUAUUAUACUAGGGAUUUCAUUAUCUGAUUUAACCUUAAUAGGAAACAGUGAAAAUAGAAAACAAUAAUAAGAUGUUUAAACUUUUGAAAACAGGAAAUAAAACCAAUUUAUCCCUUUAUUUCCCAUCUAGUGUAGUUUUCCGGGUAUGUGGGUGGAAAUGCUAGUGACUAGUGGUUAUCUUGGUGGGUGUGCUCUAGAAUGUACAUUGGCAUUGGUUUUUUAGUACCUAAUACCUAUGGAUCACAAAUUUGAAUUUGGGAUGUACUCUGUUCUCCACCCAUUUCUGGUCCGUCUUAUGUCUCUCACGUGCCAUUUCAGGUCCUUUCAAGGUUAAUGGAGUUCCUUUGAGACGUGUGAAUCAGGCCUAUGUUAUUGGCACAUCAACCAAAGUAGAUGUCUCUGCUGUUAAUGUCAACAACUUUGAUGACAAAUACUUUGCGAAGGAAGCCCAGAGGAAGAAGAAGAAGGGAGAAGGGGAGUUCUUUGAGGCAGAGAAGGAGGUGGGAUUAUCAGUUUUUUGAUUUUGUUGAUGUUCUACCUGUUAUUCUUACUUGCUUCUGCGUGCUGAUCUCUGCAUUCUUUUUUCCAAUGAUGCAGGAAAAGAGCGUGUUACCCCAGCAGAAGAAAGAUGACCAGAAAACAGUGGAUGCUGCAUUGUUAAAAGCCAUUGAGAGUGUGCCAGACUUGAAGUCUUAUUUGGGUGCCAGGUUUUCUCUAAAGGCUGGCGUGAAACCUCAUGAGCUAGUCUUCUAGAGGAAAGAAGGGUGUUACUCUUGUUUUUGAUAACCUGUUUGUUUAUUGGUGUUGAUCCUUAUAGUUGCACUCUUAUAACAUUCUUGUUAACAGACAAAUGAAGAACCUAAAAUUUUGUUAGGCAAUCGAUUGUGACGCGUGCUCUUUACAUUUUGUUGAUUGUGUGAAUUUUAGAUAUUGUGUGGACCUUUAGCACGCCAAAUGAAAAAAAUUGGAAACAGAUGUACAUGUGGUCAAGGAAAUCUUUCCAUAAUACAUUCAUAAAAUUUUAAGAUAUAGAUAUUAGAAGAAUCGACAAUGACUAGGAUGAAUCUUCCCGAGUAUUUUUUUUGGCUUUUUAAUAUACAAUAGCUACAUGUUUUGUUGCCCUUGGCUUCUGAAGUUAUAAUUUUCUGUUCACUUGUUUUUUUUUAGAGAAAAUUGACUUGCAGCAGUAAUUUAGCUUUUGGAAAAUUUUAAACACCUCAAUAUAAGUCAUAUUAUAAUCAUGUUUAAUUAUAUUCUUGUUUAGACUAAAUUUGAAAAAAUAAUCCUUUAUUUUUUGAAGUUCUUUUUGAAAAGCUGAUAAACGUGAAGUAUUACUUUUUCAUAAUAAAUUUAAUACGGAUUUUUUUAGAGAAAAGUUUAGGGUAGUGGCUGUGUCAGGACAUGCUUCAGGUCACCACGCAAUUAAUAUACACUAAUAAUAGUAUUAAAAAAAAUGAAAACUUUUCCUUCUUAAAUUUGGAUGAAAUUUACACUUUCAAAGGUAAAGAAUAAUAUAUUAUUUUUAAAGUUUAAUGCCUAUGUAUCAUUCAAUUAUAUUAUAAAUUAUUAUUUGAAUUAUUUUAAAAUGAUUAUUUUAAAAGUGAAAAAAAUUAUUAUAUAAUGAACUAUGAUUGAAUGAUUGUAUAAUUUUUUUCGUGAGAAAUAAAGGAUAACAUAAGAUGUAAGGUUCGAUGAGAUAAUGAUCCAAGCUCAGCAAAUUAGUUGCCUUGGCGAUAAAAAUGUUGAAAGGAGAGGUUCUAUUUACGAGCUUUGAAGUUGCUGGUCCUUCGAAUAAGGGUGGUAUGCAGUGCCGUUCACGUCCAACAAUUGCAAAACAAUAAGAGAAUCUGAGUCACAUAUAAGUAUUAGUUGACGAAAACCAGCGUCCCAAGCUAUUUGAAGACCGUGCAUGAAACUCAGCAUUUACAUUUGUGAUAAAACCGCCAGAACCUUUGAAACCAAGAUGUCAUUGGUCAGGAUCAUCUCUGAGGAGGCCUCCGGAUAAAAAUUAAAUAUCAUAUUAGAAAUUUAUAAUACUCAUAUAUUCUGCUGAAUAUUUAUGUGAGCCAAAGAGGAAAAAAAACAGUUUUUCAUUCAUAGGUACAAGAUUCAAUCCUGUUCUAAUAGGAAAUAAUGCACAAUAAAACUAACUCUCACAUCUAACAAACAAAAGAAAAAAAAUAACUUACUUAUUACUUAUAGAAAAUAAAAUCAUUUAAAUAGUUUGAUGGCACGUGUCAAUUUAUACAAAUUAAAUUUUAAUUAGUAAAAUGAAGACUGGUAUACUAAAAAAAAUUAUGGACACAUUAGUCUGGGCUUGGAGCAUGGAUCCUUUGAGUCAGGUCAAGGCCCGUUAGAUUUUAUACAGAACAGGUAUCUAUAUGUCUGAUUUUCAUUUGCGCAUUAAACGAGAAUUAGGGUUUGUAGUGCAGCAGGAAGAAGCAAUAAUGGCGCCGAAGAUAACACGUAAGGUUAGCAGAAACCCCGAAUUGAUAAGGGGAAUCGGAAAGUACUCGAGGUCUCAAAUGUACCACAAGAGGGGCAUUUGGGCUAUCAAGGCCAAAAACGGUGGCGUUUUACCUCGCCACGGCCCUAAACCCAAACCUGAAACUCCCGCUGAAAAACCACCCAAAUUUUACCCUGCUGACGAUGUCAAGAAACCCCUUGUCAACAAGCACAAACCCAAACCCGCGAAGCUCAGGUUCAUUUUCACUUCAUUCUUAUUUGUUUUGACUUAUUUUAUGGUGAUGCUAGUAAAUAAAUUGGGGAUCUGGAAAUGUAGGUUAUCGCUAAUUGCUGAUUGCUGAUUGCUAAUUAAUAAAAUGAAUGAGUUUUUUUUUCUUAAUAAAAUUGCUUUGGUUUAAUGAUGUUUUAUUUAUAUAUGGAGCUCAUGGAGUGUGAUUUUGUGUUGGGUGUGUGUUCAGG
rnacentral:lncRNA from 1 species